rnacentral:rRNA from 1 species
UAUCCCGCAAGGGAUAGCGGCAAAAGGGUGAGUAACACGUAAGUAAUUUUCCUUAAAGACGGGGAUAGCAUCGUGAAAACGGUGGUAAUACCCGAUGUUAUGGUUUUAUCGCAUGAUGAGACCAUCAAGGACGGGGACCUUCGGGCCUGUCACUUUUUGAUGAGCUUGCGUACCAUCAGCUAGUUGGUAGGGUAAUGGCCUACCAAGGCUAAGACGGUUAGCUGGUCUGAGAGGACGACCAGCCACAUUGGGUCUGAGACACUGCCCAGACUCCUACGGGAGGCUGCAGUCGAGAAUAUUUAGCAAUGGGCGAAUGCCUGACUAUGCGACGCCGCGUGCAGGACGAAGGUCUUCGGAUUGUAAACUGCUUUUGUCAGGGGAGAAACCUGACACGUUAAUAGCGUAUCAGCUGACGGUACCUAGCGAAUAAGCCACGGCAAACCCUGUGCCAGCAGCCGCGGUAAUACAGGGGUGACAAGCGUUACUCGGAAUUAUUGGGUGUAAAGGGCAGGUAGGUGGCUCGUUAAGUGAGAGGUGAAAUCCCACGGUUCAAUCGUGGAACAGCCUUUCAAACUAUCGAGCUUGAGAGAGAUAGAGGAAGAUGGAAUUCUCGGUGUAAGGGUGAAAUCUGUAGAUAUCGGGAAGAACACCAACGGCGAAGGCAAUCUUCUGGGUCUUUUCUGACACUGAACUGCGAAAGCUAGGGGAGCAAACAGAAUUAGAUACUCUGGUAGUCCUAGCCGUAAACGAUGAAUACUAGGUGUUGGCCCCUUCGGGGGUCGGUGCCGAAGCUAACGCAUUAAGUAUUCCACCUGGGGACUACGGUCGCAAGGCUAAAACUCAAAGGAAUUGACGGGGGCUCAC